rnacentral:rRNA from 1 species
AGAGUUUGAUCAUGGCUCAGGAUGAACGCUAGCGGCAGGCUUAAUACAUGCAAGUCGUGGGGCAGCAGGGGUGUAGCAAUACACUCGCUGGCGACCGGCAAACGGGUGCGGAACACGUACGCAAUCUACCCAAAACUGGUGAAUAGCCCUCCGAAAGGAGGAUUAAUACACCGUAACCUAUUGAAGUGGCAUCACUUUAUUAGUAUAGCUCCGGCGGUUUUGGAUGAGCGUGCGGCUGAUUAGGUAGUUGGCGGGGUAACGGCCCACCAAGCCUGCGAUCAGUAACUGGUGUGAGAGCACGACCAGUCACACGGGCACUGAGACACGGGCCCGACUCCUACGGGAGGCAGCAGUAAGGAAUAUUGGUCAAUGGACGCAAGUCUGAACCAGCCAUGCCGCGUGGAGGAUGAAGGCCCUCUGGGUUGUAAACUUCUUUUAUAGGGGACGAAACCCUGGUAUUCUUACCAGAUUGACGGUACCCUAGGAAUAAGCACCGGCUAACUCCGUGCCAGCCGCCGCGGUAAUAC